rnacentral:rRNA from 1 species
UACAGAGGUCUCAAGCGUUGUUCGGAUUCAUUGGGCGUAAAGAGCGUGUAGGCGGUCCGGUCAGUCGGUUGUGAAAGUCAAGGGCUCAACCCUUGAAUGUCGAUGGAUACUGCCGGGCUAGAGUCCGGAAGAGGCGAGUGGAAUUCCUGGUGUAGCGGUGGAAUGCGCAGAUAUCAGGAGGAACACCAAUAGCGAAGGCAGCUCGCUGGGACGGUACUGACGCUAAGGCGCGAAAGCGUGGGGAGCGAACAGG